GCACAAGCAGCGGAGCAUGUGGUUAAUUCGAAGCAACGCGAAGAACCUUACCUAGACUUGACAUCUCCUGAAUUACCCGUAACUGGGGAAGCUCUUCGGAGCAGGAAGACAGGUGGUGCAUGGUUGUCGUCAGCUCGUGUCGUGAGAUGUUGGGUUAAGUCCCGCAACGAGCGCAACCCUUAUCGUUAGUUGCUACCAUUAAGUUGAGCACUCUAGCGAGACUGCCCGGGUUAACCGGGAGGAAGGUGGGGAUGACGUCAAAUCAUCAUGCCCCUUAUGUCUAGGGCUACACACGUGCUACAAUGGUGAGGACAAAGAGACGCAAGACCGCGAGGUGGAGCAAAUCUCACAAACCUCAUCCCAGUUCGGAUUGCAGGCUGAAACUCGCCUGCAUGAAGCCGGAGUUGCUAGUAAUCGCGAAUCAGCAUGUCGCGGUGAAUACGUUCCCGGGCCUU
rnacentral:rRNA from 1 species